GAUGAACGCUGGCGGCGUGCCUAAUACAUGCAAGUCGAGCGAACGGACGAGAAGCUUGCUUCUCUGAUGUUAGCGGCGGACGGGUGAGUAACACGUGGAUAACCUACCUAUAAGACUGGGAUAACUUCGGGAAACCGUAGCUAAUACCGGAUAAUAUUUUGAACCGCAUGGUUCAAAAGUGAAAGACGGUCUUGCUGUCACUUAUAGAUGGAUCCGCGCUGCAUUAGCUAGUUGGUAAGGUAACGGCUUACCACGGCAACGAUGCAUAGCCGACCUGAGAGGGUGGUCGGCCACACUGGAACUGAGACACGGUCCAGACUCCUACGAGAGGCAGCAGUAGGGAAUCUUACGCAAUGGGCGAAAGCCUGACGGAGCAACGCCGCGUGAGUGAUGAAGGUCUUCGGAUCGUAAAACUCUGUUAUUAGGGAAGAACAUAUGUGUAAGUAACUGUGCACAUCUUGACGGUACCUAAUCAGAAAGCCACGGCUAACUACGUG
rnacentral:rRNA from 1 species